rnacentral:rRNA from 1 species
GGCCUUUUGAUAUUAAUUUAAGGUCGUGCCUGCUCAAUGAUUAAUUAAAUAGCCGCAGUAUACUGACUGUGCAAAGGUAGCAUAAUCAUUAGUUUUUUAAUUGAAAGCUUGUAUGAAAGGUUUGAUGAAAAAGGAACUGUCUCUGUUUGAAUUUUAGAGAAUUUUAUUUUUAAGUGAAAAAGCUUAAAUGAAGAUUGGGGACGAGAAGACCCUAUAGAGUUUAAUAUUUUAUUAGUUAAUAAAUUGUAGUAUUGUUUAAAUUUAAUGAAAUAAGAUAUUUUGUUGGGGUGAUAGAAAAAUUUAUAAAACUUUUUUUUUAUUUAAACAAUGAUUUUUGAAUGUAUGAUCUUAUAUUUUAGAUUAAAAGAUUAAAUUACCUUAGGGAUAACAGCGUAAUAUUCUUUAGAGUUCUUAUCGAAAGGAAUGAUUGCGACCUCGAUGUUGGAUUAAAAUAGGUGGGUGGUGGAGAGGCUACUAAACUAAGUCUGUUCGACUUUUAAAAUUUUACAUGAUCUGAGUUUAGACCGGCGUGAG